rnacentral:rRNA from 1 species
GCGAACGCUGGCGGCAGGCCUAACACAUGCCAGUCGAACGAACCUUUCGGGGUUAGUGGCGGACGGGUGAGUAACACGUGGGAACGUGCCUUUAGGUUCGGAAUAACUCAGGGAAACUUGUGCUAAUACCGAAUGUGCCCUUCGGGGGAAAGAUUAAUCGCCUUUAGAGCGGCCCGCGUCUGAUUAGCUAGUUGGUUGAGGUAAUGGCUCACCAAGGCGACGAUCAGUAGCUGGUCUGAGAGGAUGAUCAGCCACAUUGGGACUGAGACACGGCCCAAACUCCUACGGGAGGCAGCAGUGGGGAAUCUUGCGCAAUGGGCGAAAGCCUGACGCAGCCAUGCCGCGUGAAUGAUGAAGGUCUUAGGAUUGUAAAAUUCUUUCACCGGGGACGAUAAUGACGGUACCCGGAGAAGAAGCCCCGGCUAACUUCGUG